AACUUACUCCCUCCGUCCGAAAAUACUUGUCCGAGAAAUGGAUGUAUCUAGAUGUAUUUUAAUUCUAGAUACAUCCAUUUCUAUCAUUUUUGUGACAAGUAAUUCCGGACGGAGGGAGUACAUG
rnacentral:pre_miRNA from 1 species